rnacentral:rRNA from 1 species
CCUACGGGAGGCAGCAGUGAGGAAUAUUGGUCAAUGGACGAGAGUCUGAACCAGCCAAGUAGCGUGAAGGAUGACUGCCCUAUGGGUUGUAAACUUCUUUUAUAUGGGAAUAAAACGUUCCACGUGUGGGAUUUUGUAUGUACCAUAUGAAUAAGGAUCGGCUAACUCCGUGCCAGCAGCCGCGGUAAUACGGAGGAUCCGAGCGUUAUCCGGAUUUAUUGGGUUUAAAGGGAGCGUAGGUGGAUUGUUAAGUCAGUUGUGAAAGUUUGCGGCUCAACCGUAAAAUUGCAGUUGAAACUGGCAGUCUUGAGUACAGUAGAGGUGGGCGGGAUUCGUGGUGGAGCGGUGAAAUGCUUAGAUAUCACGAAGAACUCCGAUUGCGAAGGCAGUUCACUGGACUGCAACUGACACUGAGGCUCGAAAGUGUGGGUAUCAAACAGGAUUAGAUACCCUAGUAGUC